UAUAUGAUAUACUGAACUCUCAGUAUCAUGUCCCAACCCCGAGGAGAGCACAAUUUAUGCAGAUCCAUUGUUUCGGAAAAAAAGAUCUUUUAAGAGACAACGUUGCCAGUCUGGAAGAGGGAAGCCAGAAUUCUUGUUGGAAGAUAUAGCUGGAGCUAAGGAGAGGGGGGCUUCAUGGAGGGUUCAAGAAGUAGAGAAUGCAGCUAACAGGGCUGUGGAAUCGGCAAUCACUCCGUAGUAGGGCUCAAAUUCUCAUGACUUAUGCUGAAUUGGCAGCAUACAAGUCUGUCAUGGUCUUAAAAUUGCAGAUGCCAUGGGGUUAUCAGAAUCUCAGAUCUUGCUUCUUUAAUUCUUGAUUGAAUGUUGAAGUUAGAUAAUAUUGUACAAGAGCGGUAUAGCAGUGCCAUUCCAUUUGGUCGAAAGUUAUCAUGUUUCUGUCGGCCGAGGGUGAUUCUGGCUGAUUUAAGCUGUGGGCAGUUUUUUUAUAAAGCCAUUUUGAGGCUGGGUUCCAGAACCUGUACAGAACAAAACUAUAAUUUUGUAUAAUGAUAGCUGUCCCUAGAUUUUGUAUUGGUAGCAUGGUCUCGUUUGCGUUACCUAAUUCUUGUGAUUCUCAGGGAUAAGAGAAAAGGAACACAGCAAGUCGAAUGGACUAGAAGCAUUGAUCAAUCCUUUUGGAUCACUGGAAUUUCUUAAAUUUAACAUUUGUGCUGUUGCCAGGGCCCUUUGUGUUUUCACAAUAACUGUAGAUGACUUGAUCUGCAUCAAUCUCUCCUGCUAUAAUUGCUGAAUACAUUGGAGACGAAUCCAAAUACAUGUAUUUUCUAUUUGGAUUUGACUCAAUAUGGAUGCGAAAAUCAUUUUUUAUUUA